rnacentral:rRNA from 1 species
GGAUGCGAUCAUAGCAGCACUAAAGCACCGGAUCCCAUCAGAAAUCCGAAGUUGAGCGUGCUUGGGCGAGAGUAGUACUAGGAUGGGUGACCUCCUGGGAAGUCCUCGUGUUGCAUUCC